GAGAGAUGGCAGAGUGGUCGAUUGCGACGGUCUUGAAAACCGUUGAGUGUAACAGCUCCGGGGGUUCGAAUCCCUCUCUCUCC
rnacentral:tRNA from 1 species